rnacentral:rRNA from 1 species
UACAGAGGUCUCAAGCGUUACUGAGAAUCACUGGGCUUAAAGGGUGCGUAGGUGGUCCGUUAAGUCAGUUGUGAAAUCCCCGGGCUCAACCCGGGAACUGCUUCUGAUACUGGCGGACUUGAGGCCAGUAGGGGUCACUAGAACUGACGGUGGAGCGGUGAAAUGCGUAGAUAUCGUCAGGAAUGCCGGUGGUGAAGGCGGGUGACUGGGCUGGUUCUGACACUGAGGCACGAAAGCGUGGGGAGCGAACGGG